ACUCUUUUAGUUUAUUUAAAAAUGUGGCUUUGAAGAGGCUAAGAAUUAGGUGAGUGGAUGAAAGGUA
rnacentral:tRNA from 1 species